rnacentral:rRNA from 1 species
UACGUAGGUGGCGAGCGUUGUCCGGAUUUACUGGGUGUAAAGGGCGUGUAGGCGGGGAAACAAGUCAGAUGUGAAAUCCCGGGGCUUAACUCCGGAGCUGCAUCUGAAACUGUUUUUCUUGAGUGCUGGAGAGGAAAGUGGAAUUCCCAGUGUAGCGGUGAAAUGCGUAGAGAUUGGGAGGAACACCAGUGGCGAAGGCGGCUUUCUGGACAGUAACUGACGCUGAGGCGCGAAAGCGUGGGGAGCGAACAGG